rnacentral:rRNA from 1 species
UACGUAGGGGGCAAGCGUUGUCCGGAAUUAUUGGGCGUAAAGCGCGCGCAGGCGGUCAUUUAAGUCUGGUGUUUAAUCCUAGGGCUCAACCCUAGGUCGCACUGGAAACUGGGUGACUUGAGUACAGCAGAGGAAAGUGGAAUUCCACGUGUAGCGGUGAAAUGCGUAGAGAUCGGGAGGAACACCAGUGGCGAAGGCGGCCUUCUGGACCAGCACUGACACUCAAGCACGAAAGCGUGGGGAGCAAACAGG